ensembl:lncRNA
GGGAUCUGGGAGCCCUGUGGGCGCUAUUUGGGAUCUGGGAACCCUAUGACUGCUGUGGGGCGGGCGCUGUGGGGUGAAUGCUAUGGGGUGAGUUUUGUGGGUGGGUGCAUUGCAGGCACUGCUGUGGGGCAGGUGCUGUGGGGCGGGCUGUGGGAUGGGUGCAUUGCAGGUGCUGCUGUGGGGUGGGUGCUGUGGGGCAGCUGGGCAGCGCUAUGGGGCGCAUGGCAGCGCUAUGGGGCACACGAUGCUGUGGGGCACAAUGUUGGCACCAUGGGGUGUGGAAUGGGUGCCGUGGGGCACGGUGCUAUGGGGCACAUGGGCGGUGCUGUGGGGUGUGAUGCUGUGGGGUGCAUGGACAGCGCUAUGGGGCACUGCGCUGUGGGGCAGAAGGAUGGUGCUGUGGGGCACAGAGACAUCGAUAUGGGGCAGAAGGAUGGCGAUGUGGGGCACAGUGACAGUUAUGGGGCACAGAGUGACAAUGCUAUGGGGCACAGGGAUGGCGCUGUGGGGCAGAGUGACACCGCUAUGGGGCACAGGAAUGGUGCUAUGGGGCACAGAGGCAUCAAUAUGGGGCAGAAGGAUGGCGAUGUGGGGCACAGAGACAGAGCUAUGGGGCACAGUGGUGGCGUUAUGGGGCAGAGGAAUGGUGCUAGGGGGCACAGGGAUGGCGCUAUGGGGCAGAAGGAUGACACUGUGGGGCAGAAGGGUGGUGCUGUGGGGUGCAGUGGUGGCACUAUGGGGCACAGUGAUGGUGCUAUGGGGCAGAAGGAAGGCGCUAUGGGGCACAGUGGCGGUGCUAUGGGGCACAGUGAUGGUGCUGUGGGGCAGAAGAAACGUGCUAUGGGGCAGAGUGGUGGUGCCGUGGGGCACAAGGAACAUGCUGUGGGGCACAAGGAUGGCACUGGGGCACAGAGAGCUAUGGGGCAGGAGGAAGGCACUAUGGGGCACAGUGGCGAUGCUAUGGGGCAGAAGGAACGUGCUGUGGGGCACAGUGACGGCGCUAUGGGGCAGAAGGAACGUGCUAUGGGGCGCAGUGGUGGCACUAUGGGGCACAGUCGUGGUGCUAUGGGGCGGAAGGAACGUGCUGUGGGGCACAGCGGCAGUGCUGUGGGGCAGAAUGGCGGCGCUAUGGGGCAGAAGGAACGUGCUGUGGGGCAGAGUGGCGGCGCUGUGGGGCACGGUGACAUUCGGAGGUGACACGGGGGUGUCCCCCGGCGGCGUCACGUGACGUCAUCGCCCAGCGGUGUCCCCCGGCGGCGUCACGUGACGCUGUCACACACAGCGGUGUCCCUCGGCGGCGUCACGUGACGUUAUCGCGCAGCGGUGUCACGUGACGCCGUCACACGUUGGUGUCCCCCCGGCGGCGUCACGNNNNNNNNNNNNNNNNNNNNNNNNNNNNNNNNNNNNNNNNNNNNNNNNNNNNNNNNNNNNNNNNNNNNNNNNNNNNNNNNNNNNNNNNNNNNNNNNNNNNNNUGGGGACAUCAAUGGGGACAUCCCUUGGUGACGUCACUGGGGACACCUUUGGGGACACCUUUGGGGACACCUUUGGGGACAGCCCUUUGGAUGUCACCCCUUGGGGACAUCCCUUGGUGACGUCACUGGGGACAUCACUGGGGAUUUGGGGACACUUUUGGGGACACCCAUUUGGGGACAGCCGUUCGGAUGUCACCCCUUGGGGACAUCAGUGGGGACGCACUCAGGGACACCAGCUUUGGGGACAUCAUUGGGGACAUCCCUUGGUGACACCACUGGGGACACCCAUUUGGGGACACUGUUUGGAUGUCACCCCUUGGGGACAUCAGUGGGGACGCACUCAGGGACACCAGCUUUGGGGACACCAUUUGGGGACAUCAGUGGGGACAUCAGUGGGGUCACCCCUUGGGGACAUCGUUGGGGACACCGGUUUGGGGACAUCGUCGUCAUCGGGGUCAGCAGCGCUGGUGGUGGCACUGGGGACGGCAGUGGGGACACUGGGGACACUGGUGGGGUCACUGGUGGUGGCACUGGGGACGUUGGGGACAUUGGGGACAUUGGGGACAUUGGGGACAUCACUGGGGACACUGGUGCUGGUGCUGGUGGCCACUGAGUCACAGGGUGGAGCGGGGGGACGACACGUGUGGGACCCCCCAGUGCCUCCCAGUGCCUCCCAGUUCCCACCCCCCCAGUUCUCCCAGUUCGCCCCCAGUUCCUUCCCAGU